GAAAUGCGAUAAGUAAUGUGAAUUGCAGAAUCCAGUGAAUCAUCGAAUCUUUGAACGCACAUUGCGCCCGCCAGCAUUCUGGCGGGCAUGCCUGUUCGAGCGUCAUUUCAACCCUCGACCUCCCUUUGGGGAAGUCGGCGUUGGGGACCGGCAGCACACCGCCGGCCCUGAAAUGGAGUGGCGGCCCGUCCGCGGCGACCUCUGCGUAGUAAACCAACUCGCACCGGAACCCCGACGUGGCCACGCCGUAAAACACCCAACUUCUGAACGUUGACCUCGAAUCAGGUAGGACUACCCGCUGAACUUAA
rnacentral:misc_RNA from 1 species